rnacentral:rRNA from 1 species
CAUGUUGAGAAUCAAUUCCCGGUACCCGAAACCGACACAGGUGGGCAAGUAGAGAAUACUAAGGGGCGCGAGGUAACUCUCUCCAAGGAACUCGGCAAAUGACCCCGUAACUUAGGGAGAAGGGGUGCCACCGAGAGGUGGUCGCAGUGAAGAGGCCCAGGCGACUGUUUAGCAAAAACAUAGGUCUCUGCAAACUCGAAAGAGGAGGUAUAGGGGCUGACGCCUGCCCAGUGCCGGAAGGUUAAAGAAGUUGGUCAGUUUUAGGAUGAAGCUAGCGACUGAAGCCCCGGUGAACGGCGGCCGUAACUAUAACGGUCCUAAGGUAGCGAAAUUCCUUGUCGGGUAAGUUCCGACCCGCACGAAAGGCGUAACGAUCUGGGCGCUGUCUCGGAGAGAGGCUCGGCGAAAUAGGAUUGUCUGUGAAGAUACGGACUACCUGCAUUUGGACAGAAAGACCCUAUGAAGCUUUACUAUAGCUUGGAAUUGUGUUCGGGCUUCCUGUGCGCAGGAUAGGUGGGAGGCGUAGAAGGUAUUCUUGUGGGGAUACUGGAGCCAACGGUGAGAUACCACUCUCAGGAGGCUAGAAUUCUAACUUAAUUAAGGACAGUUUCAGGUGGGUAGUUUGACUGGGGCGGUCGCCUCCAAAAAGGUAACGGAGGCGUACAAAGGUUCCCUCAGACUGGUUGGAAAUCAGUCGAAGAGUGCAAAGGCAGAAGGGAGCUUGACUGCGAGAAGUACAGUUCGAGCAGGGUGGAAACACGGUCUUAGUGAUCCGACGGUGCUGUGUGGAAGGGCCGUCGCUCAACGGAUAAAAGUUACUCUAGGAUAACAGGCUGAUCUCCCCCAAGAGUUCACAUCGACGGGGAGGUUUGGCACCUCGAUGUCGGCUCAUCGCAACCUGGGGCGGAAGUACGUCCCAAGGGUUGGGCUGUUCGCCCAUUAAAGCGGUACGUGAGCUGGGUUCAGAACGUCGUGAGACAGUUCGGUCCAUAUCCGAUGUAGGCGUGAGAAUAUUGAGAGGAGCCUUCCUUAGUACGAGAGGACCGGGAAGGACGCACCGCUGGUGUACCUGUUAUGAUGCCAAUUGUAAACGCAGGGUAGCCAAGUGCGGAGAGGAUAACCGCUGAAAGCAUCUAAGUGGGAAGCCCACCUCAAGAUGAGUAUUCUGGUGUAAGGUCACGGGAAGACGACCCGUAAAUAGGCACGAGGUGGAAGUGCAGAGAUGUAUGAAGCCGAAGUGUACUAAUAGACCGUCGGCUUGAC